rnacentral:rRNA from 1 species
UGCAGUCGAGCGGACAGAUGGGAGCUUGCUCCCUGAUGUCAGCGGCGGACGGGUGAGUAACACGUGGGUAACCUGCCUGUAAGACUGGGAUAACUCCGGGAAACCGGGGCUAAUACCGGAUGCUUGAUUGAACCGCAUGGUUCAAUUAUAAAAGGUGGCUUUUAGCUACCACUUACAGAUGGACCCGCGGCGCAUUAGCUAGUUGGUGAGGUAACGGCUCACCAAGGCAACGAUGCGUAGCCGACCUGAGAGGGUGAUCGGCCACACUGGGACUGAGACACGGCCCAGACUCCUACGGGAGGCAGCAGUAGGGAAUCUUCCGCAAUGGACGAAAGUCUGACGGAGCAACGCCGCGUGAGUGAUGAAGGUUUUCGGAUCGUAAAACUCUGUUGUUAGGGAAGAACAAGUACCGUUCGAAUAGGGCGGUACCUUGACGGUACCUAACCAGAAAGCCACGGCUAACUACGUGCCAGCAGCCGCGGUAAUACGUAGGUGGCAAGCGUUGUCCGGAAUUAUUGGGCGUAAAGCGCGCGCAGGCGGUUUCUUAAGUCUGAUGUGAAAGCCCCCGGCUCAACCGGGGAGGGUCAUUGGAAACUGGGGAACUUGAGUGCAGAAGAGGAGAGUGGAAUUCCACGUGUAGCGGUGAAAUGCGUAGAGAUGUGGAGGAACACCAGUGGCGAAGGCGACUCUCUGGUCUGUAACUGACGCUGAGGCGCGAAAGCGUGGGGAGCGAACAGGAUUAGAUACCCUGGUAGUCCACGCCGUAAACGAUGAGUGCUAAGUGUUAGAGGGUUUCCGCCCUUUAGUGCUGCAGCACACGCAUUAAGCACUCCGCCUGGGGAGUACGGUCGCAAGACUGAGACUCAAAGGAAUUGACGGGGGCCCGCACAAUCGGUGGAGCAUGUGGUUUAAUUCGAAGCAACGCGAAGAACCUUACCAGGUCUUGACAUCCUCUGACAACCCUACAUAUAGGGCUUCCCC